UAGCCGUAAACGAUACUCGCUAGGUGUCGGCCACGGUGCGACCGUUGUCGGUGCCGUAGGGAAGCCGUGAAGCGAGCCACCUGGGAAGUACGGCCGCAAGGCUGAAACUUAAAGGAAUUGGCGGGGGAGCACCACAACGGGUGGAGCUUGCGGUUUAAUUGGAUUCAACGCCGGAAAUCUUACCGGGACCGACAGGCAACAUGAAGGCCAGGCUGAAGACUUUGCCGGAUUAGCUGAGAGGUGGUGCAUGGCGUCAGUGACU
rnacentral:rRNA from 1 species